CAAGAGGCUAGAAGAUAAAAGCAGUUUCUAGCAGUGUCUUCUCCUUCCAGAUUUUUCAACUAGGACUUUUCAGCCUAGAGAUGCAGAGACCGCAGACCAGGCCAGUGCUUCGUUUGUCCAACCUGAACACUGUGUACAUAGUGCUUCUCCAUCAAAGAUAGCUGUUGUCCCCAUGCAACCAAUAUUGGGGAAGAGGAGGGGAGUGAGAGUGAGAGAUGCAACCCCCAAGUGUUUCCAUGGAGGUGACUGUUUGCCGAAGGCCUUGAUGAUAGAAAGAAAUCUAAAGUGUGACUGAUGCAAGAGGUCAUUGAAAGGGUUUUCAUAUGUUGUUCUGGCACAUGGAAAAACUAGGACGGUUUCAAUAAAGAAAAAUAUAUAAUGG
rnacentral:lncRNA from 1 species